UCAGGACAUAGUUGUAACUCAAAAUCAUCAAUGAGUGUGGGGUGUUGAUGCCGUAUCGUGUGUUUCCCUCCUAACUUGAACUUCAGUUGUGAGACAUGGAAUAUGUUAUGGAUGGCAGCUUCCGGAGGUAACUGUAAACGAUAAGCGACUUCCCCUAUUUCUUCAAUGAUCUUGUAGGGUCCGUAGUAUUUGGGAGCAAGUUUUUCACACCUCCUCUUUGCUAAUGAUCUCUGCCGAUAGGGCCUUAGUUUCAAGAAUACUUCAUCACCUUCCUUGAAUUUGAGCUCCCUUCUUUUGAGGUCAGCCAUCUUCUUCAUCCGAUUCUACGCUAGACAAAGGUUUUCUUUCAAGGCACUAAUGGCCAUGUCCCUUUCCUUCAAUAUUGUUUCCACUUCAUUAUUUGGGGUCUUUUGAUGUCCGUAUGAUAACAGGGAUGGGGGUGGUCUGCCAUAUACAGCUUGAAAGGGAGUGAUCUUAGUAGAGGCAUGGAAGGUGGUAUUAUACCAUAGCUCAGCCCAUGGAAUGAAUCUGUCCCAACAACUUGGUUGCUCAUUACAAAAGCAUCUCAAGUAUGUCUCUAAGCAUUUAUUCACUCUUUCAGUCUGUCCAUCGGUUUGUGGGUGAAAGGCGGUGCUUCUCUUCAAGAUGGUUUCCAUAGAAGCGAACAAUUCCUUCCAGAAGUUGCUAAGGAACACUUUGUCUCCGUCUGUUAUUAGGGAUUUUGGAAUUCCAUGCUUACUCACGACCCUAUCUAUAAUAAAACAGCCACCUGUUUAGCUGAGAAAGGGUGUUUAAGAGUUAUGAAGUAUGCAUACUUACUAAGCCUGUCCACGAUUACCAUAAUAACAUUCACUCCCCCUGCUGUCGGUAAGCCCUCUAUAAAGUCCAUGGUCCAGUCUUCUAAAAUUCUUUCUGGAAUGGGAAGAGGCUGCAAAACUCCCGCUGGUUUGGUGGCUUCAAACUUGUUCCUCUGACAGAUCUCACACUGCUGCACAUAUUUCUUUACAUCAGUCUUCAUGCCUUGCCAAUGCAAUUCUCCACUCAUUCGUUUAUAUGUCCUUAAAAAUCCAGAAUGACCCCCUAGGAUGGAAUCAUGGAAGGUGUGAAGAAGGCUGGGUAUCAAUGAGGAUGUUUUAGGAAGCACCACCCUACCUUUGUAUAAUAAUCUUCCUUUUUCCCACUGAUAUUUGCUGGUUUCCUCAUGAUUCAUUUCCAACUUCUUAAUAAUUUUCUGAAGUUCUUCAUCCUUUUCUAUCUCCCUUCCUACUAUCUCCAUGUCAACAAUCCCUUGCGUUGUCAAAGAGUUCAAUUCUGGUAGUUGUUCCUUUCUUGAUAAAGCGUCCGCCACUUUAUUUUGGGGACCCGGUUGGUAGAGUAUUUCAAAAUCAUACCCGAGGAGUUUAGUUAACCAUUUUUGGAAUUGCGGCUGCAAUUUCCUCUGCUCCAGCAAGAAUUUUAACGCCUUUUGAUCUGAAAUAAUGGUGAAUUUCCUCCCCAGUAGAUAGUGUCUCCAUUUUUGCACUGCAAGGACUACUGCCAUCAACUCUCUUUCAUAUAUGGAUUUGGUUUGAGCCCUUGAUGACAAUUUUUGGCUGAAGAAUGCUAUAGGAUGGCCAUUUUGAGAUAGCACCGCCCCUAACCCAAUUCCUGAAGCAUCCGUUUCCACCCUAAAAGGAAGUGUCCAAUCAGGUAAAGCCAGCACCGGAAAGUAGUCAUAGCAAGUUUCAGUGCCUCGAAAGCCUGUGUGGUUUCUUCAGUCCAUUGGAAGGAAUUCUUUUGUAACAAUUUCGUCAAAGGUGCCACAAUCUCUCCAUACCCUUUAACAAAUCUUCGAUAGUAUCCUGUUAGGCCCAAAAAUCCUCUUAGACUGGUCACAUCUUUUGGUUGCUGCCAGUUUGUCAUGCUUUUAAUUUUUUCCUCAUCCGCUUCUACUCUUCCUUUGGAGAUUUGAUGUCCCAAGUAUUCAAUCUUGGAGUGGGCUAUUACACACGUUUUUUUGUUUGCAAAGAGUUGAUUAUCCUUCAAAACAGCAAAAACCAUCCCUAAGUGUUUCUCAUGCUCAUCGAUAUCAGCGCUAUAUACCAGAAUAUCAUCAAAGAAAACUAAUACAAAUCUUCUCAAGAAGGGUUUAAGUACUUGGUUCAUGAGAGAUUGAAAAGUAGCAG
rnacentral:lncRNA from 1 species